UUGCAUUUACUUGAUACAUUAGUCUGGGUAUCAACCUUGCCACUCCAGAUGUUGUCAUUCUCUAUGAAACUGAUUGGUACAUUUUCCAUUCUGCUUUGCUAGUAGCAUUUUAAUGGGAAAAAGAAGGAAGCUGUUAUUGCAACUUAUAGCAAAAAAGAAGGAAAUGAUAGCCAUUGAUGGUUACGAAAUGAUAUCAGUUUUUUUUUUUUCAAAUCAAUGGUUACUUUCCUUUUGUGCACUCAUUUCUAAACUGAUAGCCAUCGAUGCAGACCUUUCACCACAUGUAGUAGUACUUGGGCUUCAUGCACUCAUUUGUAGCCUGGUUCAUCAACUCAUUUGUGUAACUGAUUGACUUUUCCUUAUUGCAACGGAUCCUAGACUUUUGUAACUAAUGCACAUGCUUGUGAAGUGAUGCAGAUCGAUGGAUGGUUGUGAAGUGAUUCAUUGACUUAUUCUGUGAUUGCAGUGAUGGGUUGCAGGUUUUUGUGAAGUGAUGCACAUUACUGGUUUUUUUUUUUUUUUCUUCCAAAUCAAUGGUUACUUUUCUUUCUUGCACUCAUUUGUAAACUGAUUCAUGCACUCAUGUGAACUGGAUUGUAUCAUGUGAUUGCAGCAGAUCCUAAUCUAAUUUGUCAACUGAUUCAUAGACUAAACUCCAGACAAAUCUGUGAACUGGAACUCAUUUGUGAACUGAACUUGAACUGGAAUGCGGACUGUAGCUUUUAGUUCAGAAAGAAUUAAUUGUCCGUAUAACAUGGAUUAAAGCUCACCUAGGACUCGGUUCACCCUUGUUCCAAGUGCAUAGUGAACAUGGACUUCAUAAAAGUCAUCCGUGUCAAUGGUGGAGCAUGGCCAUUUCUGUAGGAUAGGCAACUCUUUCACCGAUUGACCUGUUUGAAUUUGGAAAUUGAAAGACUUAAUUUCCAGAAUGAACCCUGAGUUUUGAAGUUUGAACUUGCAUCUAUUUCUAGAAAAAAACCAGUUGUGUUUUGAAGUACCAAUAUGCAGUUCAUUUUUGUCUCUGGUAUAGUUCUGUCUCUAUGCCAUUUGCCGCUCUUUCAUGCCAUUGAAUUUUAUGAUUCAUUUGGCUCUGGCAAUUUGCAAAAUGAGAAGAUGAGUGAUUACGUUUUGUAAUCAAUCCAGCUCAUGACAUGUUGCAGUUCAUGGUGACUCAUGAUGCAUCAUUCACUGGAACUGUCCUAUGUGGUGGUUGAAAAAAAUGUGGAUUGGCCAAGCCCAAGUCAAUUAUUCUUCUAUUGCAAGUUUUAUUUUGACAGGGCCAAGCCAAAUGUUGAAACUGAAAGACCAGUCUCCUAGUCCAGCCUGUUCUCUGCACAUAAUUGGUCCUGUCAAAACACCUUUAUCAAUUGUUUAUUAGAACUUUUUCUUAGGCAAGUUUGUUUAAUUGAUGAUAGAGAAAUGGAAAAUCUACAUUCGGUGGACCAUGAUGAUUGUGAAAUCAGUGUUCAAGUUUGCAGUUUCUUUGUUUCAUGGCAGUUCUCUCUCUCCCUCCCCCACGUGCACCCCGCCUCUCUUUUCUAAUGCUGUUUAGUUUGUGAUUUUGAUCAUAGUCCCCGGUAGAGACACUUGCGAGAUUGCAAUGGUGCACCAAGAAGAUGCUGGCCUAAAUGUCGAGAUGGCAAAACUGGCUUUUGCAAAGGGUAUAUGGAGUUAUGUAUGUAAGAUGGACAAUGCAUUGCGUAAAUACCCUCCUACCCACCGUAUAGGCACAUACUUGGCUGUGACUGCUCUCCAGCUAAUUCAAAAGGACUAAUCAGCAUGCAGUUGGAUGAAAAAAUUGGCAAUCUGAUUACAAUUUGGUACAGGUUGAUUAUCCAAUGGAAGCCUUUAAAAGCGUUCCAAUAGCUGAUUCUGAAGUGUGGCUUCUAGAAAUACAUGCAGAAGGCUGAAAUGAGGUCUCUAUCCAAGAAGUCUGCUGGAUCAUGGAUUUUUUUCUGGAUCCCCUCUGCAUGAAGAAGACAGGAAUAAGAAAUCAAAUGGCCUAUUUCGCAAUGUCUUUUUUUGUGUUACAGGCUCGUGAGAAGUUUCUAUCAUUGAGGAAAAGGUACAAAGUCGGAUGUUGCUGCUGUCUUAGAAGAGGCAUAUUUCAGGACCUCCACAUUGCACAUUGCAAGGUCUUCAUUUGAGCAGGCUCGCUUCAAUCUGGUAUUUACAGCCCUACAAUGUCUGAACUGUAAACUACUGGUGGUUCACAGUGUUCCACAAAGAUUAACAAUGUGGGUCCCAGAAAGGUGGGCCUGCCUGUAUGGUUGCUGGACGCUUUUGAUACCUGUUCAUCAAGAAAACCUACUAUUUUAUGCUAAGAAAUAAAAAGCACUUUAAUUUUAUACAUCAAUUGCAUAUUGAAACAUUGCGUGAAGUAGCUUCAUGCAAAUAAGUUGGCUGUUUUGUUUCUCAUAGUCUUGGAUUCACAAGUCAAAAUGAUAUCAGGAUUUUGCUGAUGCUAUGUUUUCUUUUAUUUGCUAUAAGUUGCAAUACCAGCUUCCUUCUGGUAAUUUUUUGUGUUGGUUAUUAGGUCUCACAAUUUGUCAUUCACAUAUAAGGCUUGCAUAUUAUGGAUAUAGUUGUCAAUUUCUGCAGGUUGGGUUGUUUUUGCAUUUCAUCUUGCUAGGGGAUCUUUUUCCUUUUCAUUUCAUCAAUUUCAUUACUAUAUUUGUCUUAUCUUUUUGCAUUAUCUCUGUUCUAAUGUGCUUAAUCAUGUGAUUGUUUGUCUUCAA